UGUGCAUGAACCUUCUUAAGUUAUCUGUAAAAGCUUAUAUCCAUUUAACCGGUAGGGUGGUCUCUAAGUACAGAUUCUCAAAGGAGCCUGGGCCAGAACCCAAGACAGUCGGAACGAAUAGUUUCUAUAUGCAUUAACCCCUUCUUCCUUCUCAGAGAUCACAGACACAAAUAGUGUGUUUCUUCCCAGACUUCAUUUAGACUGUGGCUUCAUUCAAAUCCUGCCUUGAGACAUCUCUCAAAGACUCGAACUAUCUCUUGACUUUCAUUCGUUCAUUCAUUCAUUCAUUCAUUCAUUCAAUAACUAUUGAUCAUUAAUUAUGAGCCAUACAUUUGUCAAAGAAGCACCUUUCUAGCCACUGGAGUAUAGCAAUUGUAAAGACAAAAGCCCUAAUUUCUUAGUUUUCCUUGUGGUGUAGGAAACAACAGAUGAAUAAACAAGAUCAUUUCAGUUUCUGAUAAUAUAUAAAAUGUGGUGAUAUGGUAGAAAGUGUCUAAGGUAACAUGCCCUAUAAACAGGGUGGUCAGAGAGGUUCACGCUGAGGAGAUGGCAUUUGAACCAAGAUGUGAGAAGACACCAGCUAGAGAAGACACCAGCAAGGAAGACAGCAACACAGGCAAAAGAAAAGCAGUUAAAAGAAAUGAACUUGAAUGUUGGAGAAAAAUGAAAGGCCAAUACAGCUGAAAAGAAGACAGUUUGCAAGAGUGUGAGAAAAGACUAUCAGAUUGACCUUAAUCUAGCUUUUCAAAGGACUAGCAACUUCUCCCUCCUCCUUUACCCGCCCAUCCCCAGUCACACCCUAUCAUAUCACCCUUUCUUUCCUUCAUAGCCCUUGUGACUCCGUAUUGUCUGUGAGCUCCCUGAGGAUAUGACUCAACACAGGAUCCCCAGCACCCCAAAUAACUGGCUUGGCACAGACACGAAAUAAAUAUCCGUUGACUACAUGAACCUCCAUAUCACAAAACUAGGAACUACAGUGGAUCGUGAGGAUAAGAGCAAAACAUCUCUGCCUUUAUGAAGCAUAAAUGCUUAGGGGGUAAAUGAAUUACAAACCACAUGGACUAACUUAAUGUAGGCAGAAUUGAAUGAUUUAGACUAUACAUGGUGUGGAAAGUCAUUGAACAAGUCUCUGGAUAAUUUCUUCAUUCUAUUAUAUUCCAGUUCUAUUUCACAAAUAUCCAGUGUUUACCAUAUGCCAAGCACUGUGAUAUAUAGUGAUGACCAAGAUCACCCGUCUUGCCUAUAGAGCUCAGUCUACCGCCAUACAGUCUAUUACAGUAGCCACCAGACACAUGUGACCAUUGAGCAUUUGGUGUGUGUCUGGUCCACACUGGAACGUGAAGCAACUAUAAACUGCAGAUUUCAAAAACAUAGUGCAAAACAAUACUGUAAAAUAUCUCAUUAAUAAUUUUUAAUAUUGAUUUCAUACUGAAACAACAUUUUGGAUAUAUUGGGUUAAACAAGAUUAUUAUUAUUAAAGUUAUUUUCACUUGUUUCUUGUUUUUAAUCAUUAGGUUGAAAUGCUAGAAAGUGUUAAAUUAUGUAUGUGGCUUGCAUUAUAUUUCUACUAGCUAGCACUGGUCUAGUGGGAGCUUAAUGCUAGUUGAAUAAACAAGUGACAUCUUAUUACAGAUAUUAAGACAGACAUUUCAGGGAGCACCUAGCUGGCUCAAUCAAAGGAGCACAUAACUCUUGAUCAUGAGUUUGAGCCCCAUGUUGGGUGUAGAGAUACUUUAAAUAAAUAAAUAAAUAAAUAAAUAAAUAAAUAAAUAAAUAAAUAAGUACAUAAUCUUAAAAAAUGAAAGAGACAUUUCAACUGAAAGCAGGAUAGACAGCAACCUCAAAUAGAAGAACUAGAACAAGAAUUUCCAAAGAAAAUAGGUUCGGGAAAAGGUGACUGGGGAAGAGAGCUCAGCUGUGAACCCCAUCUCCUAAUCUCUAGUCUAAAGAAAGGUUUUUACAGGGACCACCAGUGAGUUUGCCAUAUCAGAGGGCACAGAGGGCUUGUGUCUGAAUCCUACCUGGAAGUUCUAAAGGGCAAGAGAUGGGUGAACUAGUCAGCAGACAGCAAAGGAAGAAUUGGUUGGUUGGGGACAACCUGCCCCCAACCCCCAGGAUAUAUCAAGGUAAAAAAAAAAUGCAUGGGGGUUUUCUAUAGAGCAGGUAUGGGCCACACAAGAAAGACGGGUAGGGUCAUUUUGGAUCCAUUCUGAGAGGAAAAUCUGGUGCAACAAGAGACUUCAUCAAAGAUUGUUAGGUUCCUAGGGGCCAAGGACCAGGCAAACAAGAGAUGCCUUUGACCCCAUUAUGAGAACUACAGGGUACAGAUGCCUGGUGAUGAGGGUAAGCUUUCUGAAAGAUUCCUGAAAGUGCCCCACAAGUAGAAGUAUCAUCUUAAUCAUGGCAGUAUCAGACAAAUAACAAUUUUCUUAUUGUCUAUUUCUUUCCUCCCUCUUCAUGCUCCAAUCCCAACGGGGCCAGAAAACAGUUGCCCAACUUGGGGCACAGGUGCAGAGGCUGGCAAUGAGCCCAAGUAGAAGACAACAGGAAAGAAGAAGGAAAGAUGAAGACUGUCUCAAUUCUGCAUCUGCCAGACCCCUACAGAACCUCACACUCGUAUGGGAUAAGAGAUGAGGCCAGGCCCUCUUCUUUCCAAGGUGUGAGCAGAUCACUGGGUCAAUGAGCAGUGAAGACUGAGCCCUCCUUAGACUUCAGAGUGGUUAAGUUGGCCUGUUACCCUGGGGCCUCAAGCCUACCCAGCCCACCUCAGCAAUCCUGGUCCAGGGGACCCAUGCAGAGAAGGGCCAUGGUCAAGAACGUAGGGGGCACAUACCCAGAAAGCAUGAAUUCACUGUAAAGAGCCAUAGAAAUAAAUGUGUAUAUAAUUUUUAGAAUAAUA